AUGUACCACGACUGCACGGAUAUGACGUGCCUGCUCAUCAAUACUAAACAGGCUCUGCUCAUGCCUGUGUCCUUUCUAACACUCAUAGCUCCUAUUGCGCUGACGCCCAUAAGAUGCAUGCGCAGGAGGGCACUGUCGGAUAAUACAUCAGUAACUUCUGUCGCUGCUAACAUUCCUGUGAUGUACCAGUCUGUCCCAGAAGUGUGUCUGAAAGAGGCUAUUACAUGUGAAGUGUCACCGCUAGGUUAUCAUUUGGCUUUGUCUGUGAAAGAGAAAAUUUGGAAGGGUGAAUUUGUUGAUUUGUUUUCUUUGCUUCCAUCUUUCAAGGAGUCUGCUAAGGAUAAAGUGGAGAAGGAGGAGGAUAAAAGGAAGGUGGCAGCAAUGAAGACAUUCAAUAAUUGGUUACAGGCAUUUUGUAUUUUUUUCUGCAGUUAUGGGCUAUCUCCUUUGGGCCUUGUUCCAAAGAAGGAGCCCAACUCUUUUAGAUUAAUUCAUCAUCUAUCAUAUCCUCUUCGUGGUUCCCUGAAUGAUUCUGUUGACCCUGGAGAGUGUUCAGUUGAAUACGCUUCUUUUGAUUCUGCCUUAGUUUUGUUGCGGCAGUUUGGUCGUGGUACUUUGCUCGCCAAGGUCAAGCAAGUUUUAAAGGGUUUUAAAUUGGCUAAGUAUAGUAAGGAUGUUCGUCGCCCCUUUAACUAUUGUCUUUUGGAGCAGCUUUGCUCAGCUUGUUUUCAGAGCAGCUUCUCGAGUUUAUACUUUGAAUCUGGGUUUUCAAGAAGAGAACUUCAACAUCUUCUGGUGCGGAUUGAGAUACUUAUCCCACAUGUCUUCCCACUGACUGCAGUCGGACUGACAACAGAUGGCACUCACACUAUUGCAUGUCUGGUAAAUCGUUACUUCCCUCAACCUGCGUCUGUCACAUGGAGCACAACUAGUGGGGAGAACGUAUCUAAAGUUAAAGACAUCACUACCCCACUAACUGGAGAUCCCCCAGCAUAUAAUCUUCUUAGUCAAGUUACAGUCAGUGAUAAUGACUGGAAGAGUAAGACUUACCAGUGCAAUGUCAGCCAUUAUUCCACCAGCAUUAGCAAAACUAUUAUUGAAGUUUGUAACGUUUCACCAGAGGCACCAAGCGUCCACCUUAUGCAAGGAACCUGCCCUGAAAGCAGCAAUGGUGAAGUCGAGCUCACUUGCCAAGUGUAUAAUUUAACCUCCCAGGACGCCACAGUGAAAUGGUUUGUCAAUGAAAAUGAAAGGAGUUUCCCAAAAGACGAACUGGAACUAGGAAAAUCCCAGAAGCACUUUUUUAGUUUGCAUAGCACAGUAACCAUUAAUCAGUCUGAGUGGAACAACGGUGUUCGUGUGAAGUGUCAUGUGACAGAUCCUAAAACGGGGAAAACGGCAGAGGACACAAUUAAGAAGUGCUCAGACAACUUCAACUGUUUGGGAAUUAAUGUGUUUAUGGUGGAGCCGUCUAUUGAAGAUCUCUAUGUCCAUAAUACUGCUCGGAUUGCAUGUGUGGCUACCAACCUUAAAGAUACAAGUGAAAGCUAUUCAUUUAAGUGGAGUUAUCCUGGAGUAUCUACCCCUACUUUUCAAACCGAAGACCUAGAGCUGCAAGAGAAUGGAACUUACAGUGUGCCCAGUGUCCUCACGGUUUCCCCAAAUGUUUGGCUGCAGCAGACAGAAUUUACCUGUGUAUUUUACCACAGUGGACUCACAGCACCAAUCAUUACUACAAUUAAAAAGGAGAAAGAAACCAAGAUGUCCCGACCUGUGGUUUUGGUUUAUCCACCAUCUGAAGAGGAAUUAGCCCAAAAGGAAGACUACACUUUGCUAUGCAUCUGCCACAACUAUAAGCCCAGAAAAAUUUAUGUUGGUUGGACAGAAAAUGAUAUGGUAGUAUCCCAAGAUCAAUACGUCAACAGUGAACCAAAGCUUGAAGCCAACGGGAACACAUACAUCACUAUUAGCAAACUUACCAUUUCAGCUAGUGCUUGGGAAUCAGGAAAUAUAUACAGCUGUGUGGUGGGCCAUGAAGCCAAUCCAAUGAAUAUUUUUAGAAGACCUGUGGACAAAUCCUCUGGUAAACCAACAAUAGUCAAUGUGUCUGUCACUAUGUCUGGAACCGACCUGUCUUGUUCUUAAUAUGUCACUUAUAGCAUCCUCCACUUUCCUUCUACCAUACAUUCCUGAAAAAUCGAAUACAGAAGAACUAAAACCCUCCUGUCUUUCUGUAUAAAUUAAUGGAUGUUUUCCCCUUUGUCUUUCUUACUUGUGUUAAUUGUAUAUCCUGUAAAAACCCCUUUGUAUUUGUGUUUUAUGGUGAAAGUGGUGGAUAUUUUGUAAAAUAAUUGAUGUUGCAAUAAAUUCUAUAA